rnacentral:misc_RNA from 1 species
AAACGCAGGAAAAGCAGAAAUUACAUCUGGUAUUGAAGAAGGCUGGUCGGCCAUCAGAACGUUUGUUAAGCCAUGAAAAUUGCAGAUUUACAAAACCAGUGGAGCAUGAGUGUGUGCAUGUCCAUGAAAUAACUGAAGCUGCUGGAACUGAAGAGGCAGAAGCAGAUGCCGAGUAUGAUAAUGCACUCAAGGAAGCCAUUAGAGGUGUGCAGGACGCUGUGAUUGCAAUAAAU